rnacentral:rRNA from 1 species
GAUGAACGCUGGCGGCGUGCCUAACACAUGCAAGUCGAGCGAUCUUCUUCGGAAGAGAGCGGCGGACGGGUGAGUAACGCGUGGGUAACCUGCCCUGUACACACGGAUAACAUACCGAAAGGUAUGCUAAUACGGGAUGAUAUAUGAAAGUCGCAUGGCUUUUAUAUCAAAGCUCCGGCGGUACAGGAUGGACCCGCGUCUGAUUAGCUAGUUGGUAAGGUAAUGGCUUACCAAGGCGACGAUCAGUAGCCGACCUGAGAGGGUGAUCGGCCACACUGGAACUGAGACACGGUCCAGACUCCUACGGGAGGCAGCAGUGGGGAAUAUUGCACAAUGGGCGAAAGCCUGGUGCAGCAACGCCGCGUGAGCGAUGAAGGCCUUCGGGUCGUAAAGCUCUGUCCUCAAGGAAGAUAAUGACGGUACUUGAGGAGGAAGCCCCGGCUAACUACGUGCCAGCAGCCGCGGUAAUACGUAGGGGGCUAGCGUUAUCCGGAAUUACUGGGCGUAAAGGGUGCGUAGGCGGUCUUUCAAGCCAGAAGUGAAAGGCUACGGCUCAACCGUAGUAAGCUUUUGGAACUGUAGGACUUGAGUGCAGGAGAGGAGAGUAGAAUUCCUAGUGUAGCGGUGAAAUGCGUAGAUAUUAGGAGGAAUACCAGUAGCGAAGGCGGCUCUCUGGACUGUAACUGACGCUGAGGCACGAAAGCGUGGGGAGCAAACAGG